rnacentral:rRNA from 1 species
UCCUACGGGAGGCAGCAGUAAGGAAUAUUGGACAAUGGACGAAAGUCUGAUCCAGCCAUGCCGCGUGCAGGAUGACAGCCCUACGGGUUGUAAACUGCUUUUAUACAGGAAGAAACACUCCGACGUGUCGGAGCUUGACGGUACUGUAAGAAUAAGGAUCGGCUAACUCCGUGCCAUCAGCCGCGGUAAU